ACCAUCUUCUUCUGGACCUCUUAAACCCUUAGAGCUAUUAGGAAUAGACUUAUCUUAAAAGAACAAGCCUUGUCCUAAACCCUAGAGUUGUAAGAGAGGGAGAGAUGGAGUGGAUAAGGCAUGUGAGAAUUGAAUGAUCACCCUCAUCUGUUGUCCCCUAUUUAUAGAUCCAAAGGGGACACCAAAUGAAAAGACAUGCC
rnacentral:lncRNA from 1 species